rnacentral:tRNA from 1 species
CAAAGAAUAAUUUUAUAAAAAAUUUUAAAUUUGGAGUUUAAAAAAGAGCAUAUUUUUCUCUUCUUUGA